GGCGCGUAUCAGGAUACGUAUCGUAUCGCCAGAGUCUUGCCAAUACACACCCCUAGUUCAUUGGGCCUCCGUGUAGAGAAGCCUCUGGCUGCAGCCUGCGGAACAGGGCAAAGCUCAACGUUUAAUCCCGCCCACGUGGAGCUCCGCCCACUAUAUGCCAUUCUCCUUCAUCAGCGCAGUUGCCAUCUUCUUCUUCGUUUCCAUGUGCAGCGAUGCGAUGUAGAUCUUUUCGAAAUGGAGGUUUUGCAUCAACAAAAUGACUGUUUAACACGGAGCUGGUUAGCUUGCGGCUCUCCUGGGACUUUCGUAAUGUCAAGCUAUUUUGUGUCUUCCAAGGUCUGUAAAACUUUCUUUCUUUGUUUUUUUUUUCACCUGUUUAAUUUGUGUCUUUGUAUAAAGAGACACAUUACAGUUUUAUUGGACGAUGAAAAACCAACGCCAAAAAAACAAAACAACACUUUCCACUGUCCAUUUAGCCAUUACUAGGGUGCAAAGCAUGCUGUGGCCCACCACAUGAAAAACUAUUCAUCCGUGAAACACAAAAGUACAUCUAGGCUGUGUCCGAAUUCCCACCCUAAUCCCUAACUACCAAAAAACGAUAUAGUGCGGGACUAUGUAGUGCCCUGGAUUUUAAAAGUUAAAAUCUAAUUGACGUGAGUGUUUUGCAAUAAAAAUUUAUGAGUCUACUGUCUUCUGAAGAUGAAAACGUUGAUGGUUCAUUAAAAAUCAAAAAUAUCUAGGGCUCUCAAGUUUUUAAAUUGAAGAUUCGGACAGCGCUAAAAAAUGGUGAACAAACUAAAGAGUGCACUAUAUAGUGAGUAGUGAAGGAAUUCCGGCACAACCUUAAGUCUUAUGAAUGUGAAGUGUGUAAGACAAAAGUGUUUCAAUAUGUUCCUAUCAUUCCUCAUUUAGAAUUUACAGUCAUUAAGUGUGGCUAAGGUUGCUAUAUGUCACACUUUCACUGUUGGUACCGUCUGGCAACAUUGGUCAAUAGGUCACAGUUUUUCAAGCAUUUGGGACAGCCCCAUGAAGAAGAAACACCUAAAUGGAAAGCAGAGGCCAGAACAGUGACUCCACUGACCCACCAAAACCACCAUCGCAGCCCUCAGAGCCCCCAUCUCAGG